CAGAUAUCAGUGGUUUUAUGUAUCAAAAUGCCGAAGGAUGUUUAAGACAGAUCCAAUUUACAAAAAAUAGCGCCGGCAACUACCAAACAUUCCUGUUCCAAGGAACAGGGACAAACAAAGAGGCCACACAAUAAAAAGCAUAACUGAAAAUUCCUAGAUACGUUUUCUGGAGAUAAUUCAAUCUAGACUCACUGCUCUGAAUCCCUGAUCUUUCUCAACCACAUUCGAACACACUUUGAACACACACUUUGCGAACUUUCAGAACAUCAAAUGUACAUUCCGCGGAUUAUCAGAGACUGUAAUUACUUAACAGUUAAGAAAUUGUGAGAAAUGUAAAUUGCACACGGCAGUUUGGGUAACUGUUUCGCUUUUUUAUACUUUGUUUGAAUUACUAUUAACAUAUACGACAUAAUAUGAAAACAAAUAGUGCUGUAUUUAUGUCCUUUACUUAAAGGCUACUGUUGUUCAUUUACUACAACUUUGAAUCAAACAACAAUGUGUGGAGGAUUGCAGUGUCCCUUUCGUUUUAUUCCUUUAUUUCCGUUCCUCUCAAGCUACAAUCUCCAAAACACAUUUCGAUACUAUGAUGAAAAUGAAUAUUAAACACUAA